rnacentral:rRNA from 1 species
UACGAAGGGUGCAAGCGUUACUCGGAAUUACUGGGCGUAAAGCGUGCGUAGGUGGUGCGUUAAGUCUGUCGUGAAAGCCCCGGGCUCAACCUGGGAACUGCAUUUGAAACUGGCGGGCUUGAGUGUGGCAGAGGGGGGUGGAAUUCCGCGUGUAGCAGUGAAAUGCGUAGAGAUGCGGAGGAACACCGAUGGCGAAGGCAGCCCCCUGGGCCAACACUGACGCUCAGGCACGAAAGCGUGGGGAGCAAACAGG